rnacentral:rRNA from 1 species
UACGUAGAGCGCAAGCGUUGUCCGGAAUUAUUGGGCGUAAAGAGCUCGUAGGCGGUCUGUCGCGUCUGUUGUGAAAACUCGAGGCUCAACCUCGGGCUUGCAGUGGAUACGGGCAGACUAGAGUGCGGUAGGGGAGACUGGAAUUCCUGGUGUAGCGGUGGAAUGCGCAGAUAUCAGGAGGAACACCGAUGGCGAAGGCAGGUCUCUGGGCCGCAACUGACGCUGAGGAGCGAAAGCAUGGGGAGCGAACAGG